CAUGCGAUGUAAAUGCCCAAGCCACCUCAGCUGACUCCUCUCGAUGAUGAUUGAAAAUCAUACAAAGAAAAACUGCAGAAGAUAGAGGUGCCUCUGUCAGCAGAUCUCGCAAAGUUGGGGGACCAGAACAAACACUGUGCUGAUGAAGACACUGUCCGUGAGAAGAUGAAAGCUACCUUCACUUAUCGCCAAGCAAUAGUCAAUGAUGAAAGCAAAUCAGCAGAUGUCUUCUUGGUUUUCCCACAUUUUCUGGACACACCAGGACUUGUACAACAUCUUAAUUCAAUUAUUUCAUGGCAAUUCCCAGUAUAGCCACAGUGCAGUAACUCCCAUUGUUACUCUUUGUUUGUAUGUGUCUGUGUUACAGAUUGAGCAAGAUUUCAGACUUCUGUUUGGAGAGACCACUGCCAACAAAUUCUUGGAGAAGUGGCCAACUUCUUUCAAAGCUAAAGUAAUAAUGGAGAGUCAUCGACUUAUACCCUCUACAGAACUCUUGGAUUUGAUGCACAGUGCAGAGUCAGCGGCUGAAGUUGAGAAUGGUACGACAUUGUUUACUUGAUAUUUCUGAUUGCACACGUGUGCAGUGCCCUUUUUGGUAAUGGUGCAACCUUUCAAAUGAAUAUGCUAUGAUGUUAACACAUUUUUGGUUUACAUAACAAGUGACAUGUCUACUUUUUUGCUGCUGCUACAUCUACUGCCACCAUCUGCGCAAGGUCGAAAGGCCAGGAAAGAUGUUUGCAUCUCAAACUGUACAUCAGCUCAUUAAAUUUCAAAAGGUUUGUUAAAAAGUUGAAUGAAUGAAUGAAUUUUUCUUUACAUCAAUCUCACACCUUUUGAGAUGUGAUCAAAUGUAGUCUAAUCAGAUUUUACUCACCACAACUUAUGUUGAAUGUCUUCUGUCACAGACUGGAAUCAGUGUGCAGCAGCAUUUAGACAACAUCCCCCUUAGCAGCCAGUCCUACCUUCUUGCAGUGGGAACCACACCAAGCAGCAUUCACCACUACUUCAUUGUGAUCGACAAGCAUGCACUUCCUUGCAAGGCAACUGGUUCUGUGGGAGUCUUUGACAAACUCUUGAAGGCCCAUUAUGUCUUUGGUAUGUCAUACAGUUCCUCCUUGACCAACUUUUUCACUUUUGUGCAAACUACAAAAGACAUGGGAGAAACAUAAUGGGCUCACUUACCGCCCACAUUUGAUUGUGUGUGGAGUUGAAUCUAAAAUGCCCUUGUUUUUUGAGUUUGAUUAUUGUAUUGUUUUGAUUAUUGUUCUGAUUAUAGAUGGAAAACUGUAAUUGCUUACUGUGCCUUUAAUUACAGUUACUUGUCAAGAACAUCUCCAUGCAUGUGAAGUGAGAAAGCAUGAUUUUGUUUACUUUCAUGUGGACAACCUGCAAUAUCCUAGGCCUUUUGACCUACAAAGGUAAUGUAGGGUGAUUAACUCUUCCUUAUUGAUUGUCCCACAUUGCUUUCUUUUGUAAGCUUUCAUUUUUAUUUUAAUAUGCCAUAUAGACAAUGCAAAUAUGAAGAUCACUGGCACCUUAAUGAUUUCUAAAAUAAAUACUAGCACUGGCAAUAC